GUGAGUGAGUGAGUGAGUGAGUGAGUGAGUGAGUGGGAGAGUGAGUGAGUGAGUGAGUGAGUGAGUGGGUGAGUGAGUGAGUGAGUGAGUGAGUGAGUGAGUGAGUGAGUGGGAGAGUGAGUGAGUGAGUGAGUGAGUGAGUGAGUGGGAGAGUGAGUGAGUGAGUGAGUGAGUGAGUGAGCGACUGAGUGAGUGAGUGAGUGAGAGAGUGAGUGAGUGAGUGAGUGAGUGAGUGAGUGAGUGAGAGAGUGAGUGAGUGAGUGAGAGAGUGAGUGAGUGAGUGAGUGAGUGAGUGAGUGAGUGAGUGAGUGAGUGAGCGAGCGCCCGGGUUUAUUUGAAGAACGGGGAUCUAUCAGAGUCUGAUCUUCACAACGCAUGUUUGUGGAAGUGUAUCCGGUACGAACAAUGGAGAUUUCUGAGGAGAGUCGUCGAAGCUCAUCGGCUGGGAAAGGACACACAGGCAUCUCUAAAGAGUCUGGACUCCACCGAUCCACACUCAGACAGAUUGUGUACAGAUGGAGGAAAUUUAAAACCACUGUUAC
ensembl:lncRNA